UCUCGAUUGGUCUAGUGGUCAGGAUACCUGCUUGUCAUUAAUGCUUAGCAACUUAGAAUUCACGAUUGUGAUACUUGGUGGUUACGAAAACAUGCCGCAGGUGGCCGGGGUUCGAUUCCCCGAUCGAGAG